UCCUAAAGCUUUUCACUUUAAAAUUAGGUGUUUACCUUUUAAACAAACAGUAGGCCUACCUAACCCGCAGGGUAUUUUAUUUUAUUUACUUUAGUUUAGUUAUUCGCACUUAAUUUAGUAAUUCCUUUAUUUACUCUUCUAUUUUUGUCAAGUUUAAGACUUCUGACGUGUUAUAACCCAGACUUUUUUCACUUUUAAAAAUUUGUUUUUUUUUCUUAUAAAAAUCGCCUCUAAGCCACAGGAAAAGGUUGUUUGUCUUGUUUUAUUUUAUUUUAGUAGUAUACUACCUUUAUUUACUCUUUGAUUUUUGUCAAUCUUUAAACUUUCUAGCCUGCUAUAACGGUUAAAACCAACCCGGUCUCAUCAAUCUGCGUAUAAAUAACACGAGUUUACACUUUCAAAUUGCGUGUAAUGCAUACGCCAAAGUCCACUUUUGCGAGCAUAUAACACGCCAAUCUUUCCCAUUAUCUUCAGUGGAGAGCAGAUGCGUCCGAAUACCACGCAGCAUCUUCAGCAGCAGUGACGUCACCAGCGAGGCUCGGUCACGGCUCGAUUCGCCCGGUUCACCUGAUGCGUGUACACCUUCAAACAGUUAACGCCAGAUUACAUACUCCAGCAGCUCUUUUAAGAAGCCCUCUCUCUCUCUCUCUUUCUCUCUCUCUCUCUCUCUUUCUCUCUCUCUCUCUCUCUCUCUCUCUCAAUUCAAUUUAAUUCAAUAUGUGCUUUAUUGGCAUGACAAUUGUUACAAUGUAUUGCCAAAGCGUAGUGUUUACUUUGAAUCUAGAACAGAUUUAUAUGCAACAAAAACAUGCAUGUAGAUACAUUUAAAAAGUAGAACAAAUCAACAUUUUAGAAUUCCAUGAACAAUUUAAAAUUCAAUGUUGUGUGUGUGUGUGUGUGUGUGUGUGUGUCUUUCUCUCUCUCUCAGCUUUUCUGUUCCUAUUUUGCUGAUCUUGAAGAAGCUGCCAAGAAGGCUGAACAAGUUCUUCAAAGAUUCAACCCUUCACAGGGAAGACCAAAGGAAGGCCUAUCAUGGGAUUUGAAUUUGGCCAUCUUGUGUGUUACGGAGAAGACCAAAAGCUGCAAAGACAAAUACUUCCAGUGGAUUUUUCACAGAUUACUCCAUCAGCUUUCCACAAUAUCAGCCCUUCCAAAAGCUUCCACAUCUCUCUCUCUCUCUCGUGUGGCAGAUCUGCUCUCAGUCCUUUACUGCAAACUUCCAAUAUUAGCAUGUAUACUUGUAUUAAUUCCUCCUGUACAGUUAACACUCCCGUCUCUACUGUGAGCACUGCACUCCUGUCACUAUCACUAUAUAUAUAUAUUCUUGCUCAAAAUGGUUGACUUUUAUCAUUUUAAAAUUAUAAUUAAUAUUAACCAUUAAUUUGUCUUGCAUUUAGUCACAAUAGUAGCAAACAAUGAUUACAGGAGAUAUAUUUUUAAAGGUAAUAAUUGUAAAAUAUUGAAAUAUUGUUUUUAAUUAUUUUUGCCUUUUUUUAUUUGUUUUGUUAAAGAGAAGAAAAUAUGCACUUUUCAAAUGGAGCCUGGCAUAUUAUUUUAUUAUCUUAUAACAUUUUCUGUAAACAAAUUCUCGUUUUAUUUUUGAAUAUAGACAAUGUUUUUAAAGGGGUUUUCUGUUGCAUAUUUCUUA